rnacentral:misc_RNA from 1 species
CAACCCUCAAGCUCUGCUUGGUCUUGGGCGUCACCGGUCCCGGUGUGCCUUAAAAUCAGUGGCGGCGCCAUCUGGCCCUAAGCGUAGUAACUCAUCUCGCUACAGGCGCCCGGCGGACGCUGGCCAGCAACCCCCACUUCUCA